AAAAUUCCCAAAAUUUCUCCUAGAAUUCCCAAAAUUUCCACCAGAAUCCCAAAAUUCCUCCUGGGUUUCCUGAAAUUCCCACCAAGAUUCCCCAAAAUUUCUCCCAGGAUCACAAAAUUCCCGCCAGGAUCCCAAAAAUUUCCACCAGAAUUCCCCAAAUUCCUCCCGAGAUUCCCAAAAUUUUUCUUGGAAUCCCCAAAAUUCCUCCCAAGAUCCCCAAAAUUCCCGCCAGGAUUCCCAAGAAGGCGUUCGGGGGGGCGAAGUUCGGGUUCGCGUUGGCCAAUCAGAGCGCGGGGUCUGGAGUGAUUGACAGGCGGCUCAGCCAGUGGGAGCGCUGGGUGCGUGGUGACUGACAGGUGCCCCGGCCAAUGGGAGCACGUGGUCUGAGAUGAUUGACAUGUGGCUCAGCCAAUGGGAGCUCAGGGGGCGUGGUCGGGAGGGGGGAUUUCCCAGUUCAAUCCCAGUUCAAUCCCAGUUCUCAAUUCAAUCUGUUUCCCAGUUCCCAGUUCAAUCCCAGUCUAAUUCCCAGUUCCCAGUUCAAUCCCAGUUCCCAGUGCCCGUUCCAGUUCAAUCCCAACUUUCCCAGUUAAAUCCGUUUUCCAAUCUCCAGUUCAAACCCAGUUCCCAUUUCCCAUUUCCCAGUUCAAUUCCAGUUAAAUCCCUGUUAAAUCCCAGUUCAAAUCCCAAUUUUCCCACCUCAGUUCCCAGUUCAAUCCCAGUUCCCAAUUUUGCAACCCCAGUUCCCAGUUCUCAAUUCCAGUUCAAUCCCAGUUUUCCAACCCAAAAUUCCCAUUUCCCAGUUCCUGGUCCAAUCCCAGUUCCCAUUCCCAGUUCAAUCCCAAUUCCCAAUUCCCAGUUCCCAAUGCCCGUUCCCAGUUCAAUCCCAGUUCCCAAUUCCCAGUUCCCAAUCCCAGUUUUCCCAGUUCAAUCCCAGUUUUCCCAGUCCAAUUCCAGUUUUCCCAGUCCAAUUCCAGUUUUCCCAAUCCGUUUUUCCAGUUCAAUCCCAGUUCCCAAUCCCAAUUUUCCCAGUCCAAUCCCAAUUUUCCCAGUCCAACCCGUUUUCCCAGUUCAAUCCCAGUCCAAUCCCAGUUUUCCCAGUCCAAUCCCAGUUUUCCCAAUCCGUUU
rnacentral:lncRNA from 12 species